rnacentral:rRNA from 1 species
CCUACGGGCGGCAGCAGUGGGGAAUAUUGGGCAAUGGGCGAAAGCCUGACCCAGCAACGCCGCGUGAAGGAAGAAGGCUUUCGGGUUGUAAACUUCUUUUGACAGGGAAGAGCAGAAGACGGUACCUGUCGAAUAAGCCACGGCUAACUACGUGCCAGCAGCCGCGGUAAUACGUAGGUGGCAAGCGUUGUCAGGAUUUACUGGGGGUAAAGGGCGUGUAGCCGGGCUGACAAGUCAGAUGUGAAAUCCGGGGGCUCAACCCCCGAACUGCAUUUGAAACUGUUGGUCUUGAGUAGCGGAGAGGCAGGCGGAAUUCCUAGUGUAGCGGUGAAAUGCGUAGAUAUUAGGAGGAACACCAGUGGCGAAGGCGGCCUGCUGGACGACAACUGACGGUGAGGCGCGAAAGCGUGGGGAGCAAACAGGAUUAGAUACCCCAGUAGUC